ACCUCACUUGAGACAUCCAUCAUGGCAGCUGUGGAUCAGAGACCCACUCAAGGCGACUACACUCUGAGUUACAUCACUCCAUCCCACGCCAAGUCCUCGGUGGUGAAGAACACCUUCUACGCCGGGAACGGAGUUUUCAGCAGCUCAUCUUCUUCUUUGGACAUGUAUGGCUGAAGUUCAGCUCUAGAGACAUGAGGAGGCGAUAUCAUGCUGACAAAGCCUAAAAUGUCCUAAAACGCCCAAAAGUGGUGUUAUUACAGAAGUAUUCUUUGUGUCGUGAUUGUCAGAAUUAAAGUAUAUUUCUUCAUAAA